rnacentral:rRNA from 1 species
UGGGGAAUAUUGCACAAUGGGCGCAAGCCUGAUGCAGCCAUGCCGCGUGUGUGAAGAAGGCCUUCGGGUUGUAAAGCACUUUCAGCGAGGAGGAAGGUGGUGGACUUAAUACGUUCAUCAAUUGACGUUACUCGCAGAAGAAGCACCGGCUAACUCCGUGCCAGCAGCCGCGGUAAUACGGAGGGUGCAAGCGUUAAUCGGAAUUACUGGGCGUAAAGCGCACGCAGGCGGUUUGUUAAGUCAGAUGUGAAAUCCCCGGGCUCAACCUGGGAACUGCAUUUGAAACUGGCAAGCUAGAGUCUCGUAGAGGGGGGUAGAAUUCCAGGUGUAGCGGUGAAAUGCGUAGAGAUCUGGAGGAAUACCGUGG